rnacentral:rRNA from 1 species
GACGAACGCUGGCGGCGUGCCUAAUACAUGCAAGUCGAACGCUUCUUUUCUACCGAGUGCUUGCACUCACUUGAAAAGAAGAGUGGCGAACGGGUGAGUAACACGUGGGUAACCUGCCCAUCAGAAGGGGAUAACACUUGGAAAUAGGUGCUAAUACCGUAUAACAAUAGGAACCGCAUGGUUCCAAUUUGAAAGGCGCUUUCGGGUGUCGCUGAGGGAUGGACCCGCGGUGCAUUAGCUAGUUGGUGAGGUAACGGCUCACCAAGGCAAUGAUGCAUAGCCGACCUGAGAGGGUGAUCGGCCACACUGGGACUGAGACACGGCCCAGACUCCUACGGGAGGCAGCAGUAGGGGAUCUUCGGCAAUGGACGAAAGUCUGACCGGUGCAACGCCGCGUGAGUGAGGAAGGUUUUCGGAUCGUAAAGCUCUGUUGUGAGGGAAGAACAGCUUCCGGAGGAAAUGCCGGAGGUUUGCCGGUACCUCACCAGAAAGCCCCGGCUAACUACGUGCCAGCAGCCGCCGUAA